rnacentral:tRNA from 1 species
GGAUUGUGGCUCAGCGGUAGAGCACUUGCCUAGUGUGUGCAGGCCCUGGGUUUGAUCCUCAGCACCA